rnacentral:ncRNA from 1 species
UUGUGAGGUAGAGGCGCGGUUGUUCAAGAGCCAUAACAGAGUAUGAGGAUACUAUGACGUUAUGAGGAGGGGACAUCGCCGAAGCAACUAUUACGUCCUCACGUAAUUGCGCUGGGUCUGCAGUGAAUAAUUGCAGGACUGUCUUAAUGAUUGUACCAAAUUCAUUAAGUUGAGCUAUCUCAUUA